UACAGAGGUCUCAAGCGUUGUUCGGAUUCAUUGGGCGUAAAGGGUGCGUAGGCGGCGCGGUAAGUCGGGUGUGAAAUCUCGGGGCUUAACUCCGAAUCUGCAUUCGAUACUGCCGUGCUUGAGGACUGGAGAGGAGACUGGAAUUUACGGUGUAGCGGUGAAAUGCGUAGAUAUCGUAAGGAACAUCGAUGGCGAAGGCAGCUUUCUGGACAAAUACUGACACUGAGGCACGAAAGCGUGGGGAGCAAACAGG
rnacentral:rRNA from 1 species